rnacentral:rRNA from 1 species
UACGGAGGGUGCAAGCGUUAUCCGGAUUCACUGGGCUUAAAGGGUGCGUAGGUGGGUCUGUAAGUCAGUGGUGAAAUCUCCAGGCUUAACCUGGAAACUGCCAUUGAUACUAUAGGUCUUGAAUUUUCUGGAGGUCAGCGGAAUAUGUCAUGUAGCGGUGAAAUGCUUAGAUAUGACAUAGAACACCAAUUGCGAAGGCAGCUGGCUACAGGAACAUUGACACUGAGGCACGAAAGCGUGGGGAUCAAACAGG